CCGAAACGUUGUGUUUUCUUUCUUCUCUUUUCAGCACAGAAUAAACCUAUUACUUGUUCCUUAGCCCCAGGUGUACUAAUACCAAUUUUUUGGAAAGAAAAAAUGCAAUUUUUAGACCUUACAGACCAAGCCCACGACUUUCCUGCCAGAUGCAUCCCGAGGGCUAACAAAAGCAUCCGGAAUCAACCAAUUUCAACACUGAUUCACUAGGAAUAGGUUUGCAUGGUUCCCAAUCUUCAUGGAUCUCUGUCAGCAUGGCAGGAGUGUCGUUAUACAGGAGCUCCUAACAAGAACACCAUGGAACACCAGCUCUCACAGUGUGUGGGAUACUGCAGCUUAUUAGGUCUGCCCAUCAACAGAACAAGGGCUCCUUCCAGGAAUCCUGCCAUGUGCCCUUGCCAAUUUACAGAUCCAUUUACUGGUCGAAGAAGACUCUCAGCUUCGAUAACUUUUAAUCCGGAAGAGACAAGACCAAGGUUUCUUUCCAGCAAAACCAUCCAUCCAUUUUGUAACCACUUUAUCCAAUAGAGGUCAAUAGUGGAUGCUGCCCAAGUCCUCAGCCAAGCUCUGAAGGAUUCAAUUGGACCAGCUUCCCAAUUAAGAAGAGUUACCUAUGGAGUUAGGAGGAGUUAGAGUACCAGCUUUCCAGAUCUAUGCUCAUUGACAGUUUAAGGUUUGCUACAAAACCCGCAGAACUGUGGCUCUCCAGAGCCAGGAUUGCAGACCCCUGUGUUAGGGCACCAUAUUAUUAUAUUAUAUUUUGUGUAAUAAACCUGUUUAAUGAGCACAUAUACAGGUGAAGUAACAAUUUUUAUACAGUGACUCUGUUAACGAUCGUGUUUAAUGAUGAAACAAUACAGCUAUUCUACAAUAAUUUUAAAAAAUCAGAAUGCUUCACCCAUUUCUCUUUAUGGAGAUAGAGCUCUUUAUUUUUUGCUUUAUUUUUCCUUCAAAGUAGUUACUGUAUACUUGUUUUCAUUAUACUUACUAAUGCAAGAAGACAUCAUCACAACAAAAGGAAACAUUUUUGUUUUGUU
rnacentral:lncRNA from 1 species